rnacentral:lncRNA from 1 species
AUGCUUGCGUUGAACCUUUGCCUCCAAUGGAGAAAGCCUAAAUGUCGUCAACUCCCAGACGAGCCUUACUACCAAUGCUCAAUCAAGGAUCCUAGCUGUGCAUUUCUCGAACCGAUACAAAGACCCAGAACCUUAUACGAGUGUGCCUACAGAACCCUGCACGAGGCAUUGGCAAGCAGAGGUGGAGGCAUAGGCGGAGGCAUAGGCGGAGGCAGAGGCAGAGGUGGAGGUGGAGGCAGUCACAGAGGAAGGCCGCCCCUGUCAUCCAGCGCUGCCCGGCGAUCGCGAGGGCGAGGGUCACCUGGAAGAGGAAGGUCAAGUGGAAGACAAGGAACCCACGGUGCGCGCAACUCCGGCCAAAGAAGCCCAACGCAUCAACUUCCUCCCACUCCCUUGAAUCCUUCAAUCCCUGUUGAUCCAAGUCUGAUUCAUGAUCCUUCAUUCGGCAUAGAUUCUUAUGGAAGUCCUUCACGUGCGUUUAUACGUACUGGUCGUGGUUCGAGAUGGCACCCUUAUGGGAGUCCUCCGCAUACGAAUGUGAGUCCACCGAUAGGUUCAGGUUCGAGGUAUGAUAGUGGUGGUGCGGAAGGCUCUAGAAGACGAAGCCCAACACCUUCCCUCCCGCCAUCUCCUGCAGAUACUUUGAUCCCUUAUGAUCCGACUCUCCCACACGAUCCCUCAUUUGGAGUUGAUGACUUCUCCACAGGGAGUCCUCAUCAAACAUUCUUGGGUGCACCGUACGGCAGUUCACCUCCUGGACCUCCGAUACAACCAUUGAAUCCAGUCCAUGUACCACAUUCACUCACUGAAGAUCCCAAUUUUGGAGGUGAUGCGUAUGGAACUCCAUCAUAUGGUCAAGGAGCAUAUUACACCACAACAGACCAGGGCGGGUCCUCAAGUCGCUAUCAAGGAGUUGAAAGCUCCUCCGCCGGCGGUCAAGAGGAAGAAGAAGAAGACGAAAGUGAAGAUGAUACUGGUAAGUCUGUCUAUUUACUAUCACCGUUCUCUUUGAAAAAGUAA